rnacentral:rRNA from 1 species
AUUCCAGCUCCAAUAGCGUAUAUUAAAGUUGUUGCAGUUAAAAAGCUCGUAGUUGGAUUUCUGGUUUGAUGCCCUGGCCCGCUGCUAUUUUGGUAGUGUGUGCCGGUUGUGCGUCUGCCAUCCUUCUAGGGAACGUUCCUUCUCUUCACUGAGCCGGGUUCGUGAUCUAGAUCGUUUACUUUGAAAAAAUUAGAGUGUUUAAAGCAGGCUUUUGCUAUGAAUACAUUAGCAUGGAAUAAUGAGAUAGGAUCUUGGCUCUGUUUUGUUGGUUUAUAGAGUUAAGAUAAUGGUUAAUAGGGAUGGUCGGGGGCAUUCGUAUUUAACUGUCAGAGGUGAAACUCUUGGAUUUGUUAAAGACGGACUACUGCGAAAGCAUUUGCCAAGGAUGUUUUCAUUA